UUAUUUUUUUUAUUUUUAAGCUGGUUCUAAAGGAGAGGAAUUGAAGAGACGUGUUCUCUGCGCACUGGGCUGUCCUCCUGCCCACGUCGAGGGACUAGAAGUUUGAACAAGCAACCCCUCUUUCUUGACAUCUCAUUUCCAGGCUGCGCCUAACCCUCUGCUCACAUAGCCACUGUUUGCUCUUGGCUUCACGUCAUUAAUGAAAACCUCAGAACACUUCAGAGAGGGUAAUAGUAUACAUUCCUAUUUGAUUCGUGAAAAAACUGAUCCUUUGGUGGGGGACUUCCCCAAAACUUCUCAACUAGAAGUGGAGGUGGGAUUUGAACCCAGAAUUAUGCAACUGCAAAACUAUAGCUGACUGUUGCAGCGGAAGCUACAAUCUCCAGGAGGUUCUUGAGCUGACAAAUAGUUCUUUCACUCCGAGGGCACCUUCUGCUCUGAGCCAGUUACUGUGACCCUCAGGGAGGACUCCGGUGGAAACACUCUCCUUCCUCCAGCCCUCCACACAGGCGCUCUCUCAGCCUACACACUUCCGCACUGGAAAGCACCCCAGAGGAAUAAUGACAGCAAACAGCAAGACUUGGCAGAAGUGCAGAAUGCCAGGAAAAUCAUGGAUUUGUCUCCAGCUCCCCCGUCUUGGCCUCAUCUAGUGGGAAAAUGGGAAAAUUCUCUGCUGGUUUCUCCUCUCGCUCUGGUCCCUCUGCUCUGGUCCACCAAAUAGACACAUCUCCAGAAGAAGGUUAAGUAGGGCCACCCUCUGGACUCCCCGAAACAAGCUGGUGCUUAAAUAUGCAGAUUCAAAAAUAAAAUUUAAAUGGAGUGCCAUGCUGCAGAGAGAUCCAGACCCUGACCUCUCUAAAUGGGGUAGUUUCAGACUCUGGGAGGCGGCUUGAGGUACACGAACAGCACAGGAUUGGAAAACUUACAUCCCCAGUCUGUCACUUCCUAUCUCUGACUUUGAGUGAUUUGCUCAACUUCUCCAAGCAUCAGUUUCUUGCAUUAUAUAAUGAGGGAAAUUAUCCUCUUGCCUACAAGCUGAUACAGCAUCCACCCAUAUCUGCAAUUUUGAUUUCUGUGGUUUUGGUUACUCAUGGUCAACUGUGAUUCAAAAAAGUAUUAAGUGGAAAAUUCCAGAAAUAAGCAAUUCAUAAAUUUCAAAUAAUUCAUUUUA